UGUGGAGAUUGAAGUAGUCAUCAUCAUUAGGAUGGAGAUCCGGACUCGCUGUGUGCCUGCCUAGAGAAUUUAGACCAAAUGACUCAGUUGGGCUGGAGAAAAGAGGCUGAAGAGAUUAAGACACUUGUCCAAAUUUAUACUACCUGUUGGAAAUGGGAAUUGGGACAAGAAUCCAGGUCUUUGAAGUAUGUAUGUUAAUGAGGAACCGUUUACCUAAGGAUAUGUUCCCUUAUCAAGUACAAGGUGAGAAUGUGGCCAUAGAUGUUGAAUGGUGACAGAAGUGCUUCUGGGAUUUUGGAGCCCACAGGCAAGGGAUCGGCCAAUCCCAUGGGACUAGCAGUACCCAGAAGCCAACCGCUUCUUCCCACCUCUGCCCCUCCGGCCCUCCCACCAUCUUGUCUGAAAGAAGCCAUCAGAGGUUUCCUGUCAGGCUGCAACCCGCUGAGUGGCACCCUGGCCCCGCUGCCUCAGCCUGGCAGCGGCAGCUCCUUCCUGUAGACACAGUUAAAUCCACUUGGCAACUUGAACCCACGCUCAAGAGCCAAUCUCACUGGCCUUCCUCUGGGAUGCCGGAACCAGCUGCCAUUGUCCCCUCUUCAGGGGUCUGGGCUGUUACCCUGUGAGACCCUCGUCUGAGUUCUGAAUUUUAAUAACUCAUCCUUCACUCCCCCAGCCUUAGGGGUGGAGCCAGCUUCCUUCAUUUGCUCUCUUUUACCCUGUCUGUGA